CAGUCGCUUCCUGCAGUCGCCGUCUCAUCGAUCCCAGCGAAUGCCCGCUCGCUCUGGACGCUCAUGCACCCGCACCCGCACCCGCACCCGCACCCGCACCCGCACCCGCACAUGCAUACAUGCAUGCAAGGGCGCAUGCACCCAUGUCGCCACCUUUUGCUUUGCACGUCCAGCAUAACAAAGGCCCUGUCCUGGACAGCCUGCUACUUAGCAGGGUGAGGGAAGCGAAGGCCGACUGAGUGAAAGCAUCUUGCGACCGACGCAAGAAACAGGGCGCUGUUAGGGGCCCAGAUACCCAUACAACGUCGCGUCAUAUAACUGUAGCCUCAACAAAGCAUGUGCGUACGCAUAUUCACACUGAGAUGUUAAAACCAAAGAG
rnacentral:lncRNA from 1 species